GUGAACAAAUUGGAAGCCCCUCACGAUUGUGGAUCAUCCUUGGUACUGCCCCUCAGUCACACCUACAGCUUUCAGCCUGAUGAAUGAUUGUGCAGCCGGUGUGGCAAAUGUAGAGGCGGAGCUGUCCUGCCACAUCAAUCAGUUAUAAUACUCUGCAAAAUAAUCUCCUGUUGCAGCUUCCCUCUGGUGGGAUCCAACAAAAAGGCAGAUGACACAAGAGCUGAGUUGAUGUAACCUGUCCAAGUCAGCCUCCCGAGACAUAUAGCAGAGUGACGGGUAGAGACGUGAUCUGGAAGGGCAGACAGAAGAUAUUCAACCCAUUGUCCAUUCUGUAUUUAUAGAUACAUUAAACCAUCUCUUAUCCUUUUGAA